rnacentral:rRNA from 1 species
GACGAACGCUGGCGGCGUGCUUAACACAUGCAAGUCGAGCGGUAAGGCCCUUUCGGGGGUACACGAGCGGCGAACGGGUGAGUAACACGUGGGUGACCUGCCCUUAGCUCUGGGAUAAGCCUGGGAAACUGGGUCUAAUACCGGAUAUGACUCCACGGCGCAUGUUGUGGGGUGGAAAGCCUUGUGUGGCUAGAGAUGGGCCCGCGGCCUAUCAGCUUGUUGGUGGGGUGAUGGCCUACCAAGGCGA